rnacentral:rRNA from 1 species
AUGAACGCUGGCGGCGUGCCUAAUACAUGCAAGUCGAGCGAACAGAUGAGGAGCUUGCUCCUCUGACGUUAGCGGCGGACGGGUGAGUAACACGUGGAUAACCUACCUAUAAGACUGGGAUAACUUCGGGAAACCGGAGCUAAUACCGGAUAAUAUAUUGAACCGCAUGGUUCAAUAGUGAAAGACGGUUUUGCUGUCACUUAUAGAUGGAUCCGCGCCGCAUUAGCUAGUUGGUAAGGUAACGGCUUACCAAGGCAACGAUGCGUAGCCGACCUGAGAGGGUGAUCGGCCACACUGGAACUGAGACACGGUCCAGACUCCUACGGGAGGCAGCAGUAGGGAAUCUUCCGCAAUGGGCGAAAGCCUGACGGAGCAACGCCGCGUGAGUGAUGAAGGUCUUCGGAUCGUAAAACUCUGUUAUUAGGGAAGAACAAAUGUGUAAGUAACUAUGCACGUCUUGACGGUACCUAAUCAGAAAGCCACGGCCAACUACGUG